CUAUCCCCUCCCUCUCUCCCCUCCUCUCCCUCUCUCCCACGCAUCUCACCCGCCGCCGCCCAAGCACCCCGCCGCCACCCUCUUCCCUUCUCGAUCUCGAUCCGCUGACGCGGCGUGAAUAUCCGUCGUCCUCGAGCUGGCUACUCCGCCACAUCCCCGCAGCGGCAGAGGAGGAGUCAGGGGUGGAGCUCCCAUUCGGCGGCAGCCGCAGCCAUCCCUCAACGCGCCCCGAAACCCUAAGCCCGCGGCAUGGCGACCGAGCUCAAUACCCCUCUCCAUCCUGCACACGUCUAGUUUUGGGGCCAUGGAGGAGCAGCUGCUCCCAUCGGAUCUGGGGAAGGAGGACGCUCACCACCACCACGCUGCUCAACCUCACCGCCAUGAUUAUGUUGCCAAGACCACCAUAUGGUGGAGUCCUCUUCCACUCCGACGACUCCCACUGGUGGCCUCGGUUCUGCUUCCUCCCUGACAUUAGGCGGCAUUUGGGCGCCAGAGAGAUGGUGGCUGGAGAUAUUUGAUUAACCGAUUCAGGCAUCUGCGAAUGCUUCUGGUUUCAUAUAGCCCUUGAUGAUUUGGACGGGACCCAGGGAGCCGAAGUUUGCUCUGGUAACCGAUACAAUCAAGAUUCUAAAGGCUUGGUCAGUAAGGAAGAGGACAGUGGCGACUCUCAUGGUAAGCUGGCAGGCAACGACUCUCGUGGUUACACCCCCGGGGAUGGUGUGCCCAGUGACCUCAUUUUUCCAUGGUUGCUCAUUUUGCUUCGUUACUAAGCAGACUUCAAGGUUGCAAAUCUUGAAUGCUGUUUAUGUUAUUUCUUUGUGUGUUCUUACUCUUAGGCAUGCACUAGCUUAGCAUUUAUGUUAUUGAUAGACUAGCAGCAACAUUGUGUGUUCUCCUUGCUGGUGUGAUCGCCGACGUGAGAGCUGGCCUGAAUAGCUUCGCCAGCAAGAAGAAAACCGAGAGAGAAGAGAGAGUGAGAGUGGAAAGUUCAGAAAUGUUCGGACGUUUUCAGUCUGCUCCAUUUACGAUGUUCAGUCAUUUACAAUAGCUUGCACAAUGUUCUGGUCUGGCAAAUGUUUUUAGAUGUGCAAAAGGGUGGCAGGUUUUUAGGCAUUUUCUUGGCGUAAAUAUUGAUCGUCAAACAGUUCUGUAUGUAGAAUCAUAUGCUAUUAAUGCCAUUCUACCACCAACAAAUUACUCACCUGACAUUUUUGCUCUGUGAAUGAAAUAAAAACGCAUCACUUACGAUUUAUUGCCUGCAAUUCCGAUUUCUGUUCUAGGCUUGGUUGAGUUCUGCUUUAUUUUCUAAGAAAUUAUGUGUUGGAUUUGGCACGGAGCUACUGCAUCGUUUUGUUUUGGCACUUGGUUCUUCGUCAAUGCUGAGCUAUUGUAAGUGAAUCUAUUUAUUUGUGCCUUACAAGUGCUCAACUGAUUGAUGGUAACGCUAUGCUACGUAAUUUGCUCUUCAUGAACGGUUAGCCCUAUUUUGAUAAACAUCGUUAUCACACAUUUUAGUUGCAUCAUAAUAAUCUUCUUCUUCUAACUUUCUUCUUUCCCAUUUUAUAGAUUUGCUUAAGAUCACGGAAGCUUGGGUUGAUGGAGUGCUUGUAUUUAGUUUUUGUUUUGACCUUGUGAAACUUGCUACCUAUGGAUGAAACUGUGUAAUAUUGAUGAAACUAUGUAUAUGUACGGAUGAAACUUGCUACUAUUGGUAACAUGUA